rnacentral:misc_RNA from 1 species
GAUGAAGAACGCAGCUAAAUGCGAUAAGUAGUGUGAAUUGCAGAAUUCAGUGAAUCAUCGAAUCUUUGAACGCACAUUGCGCCCUGUGGUAUUCCGCAGGGCAUGCCUGUUCGAGCGUCAUUGACACCCUCAAGCUCUGCUUGGUCUUGGGCGUUUGUGCCUGCCGUUGCGCAGGGACUCGCCUCAAACUCAUUGGCAGCCUGCCUUUGCCGGUCUUUGCACAGCACAGUCGUGCCAAAGCCGCGGUGAGCAGGCGCUCCACAAGCCCUUUUCAGCUUGACCUCGGAUCAGGUAGGAAUACCCGCUGAACUUAAGCAUAUCAAUAAGCGGAGGA